AUUGGAGUUGAUUCCCAACAAAAGCCCUAAGUUGAAGAGGGGGUAGUUCAGAUAAACCUCAACCCGCUGCCCUAAAUCCAAUGAUCGCCUCAAAUCUCUCUCUAAUCGACCAUCAGAUUUCCUCACCCCCACCGCCACUAUUCAUGCCCUAAAUGAUUUCAUUUGAUACACAAACCUUUUAAAGCAGUCGUGAUAAGAGUCAACGCACACGUUUUCUUGGGUUGUGCGUCUGAGCUUUUCCACCUACCCUGCCUCUUCAUCGCUUCUUGCAUCGAUUUUUAUAUGUAGAAAACCUUUUCUUCAUCUCUUUUGCUCUAUCUCUCCACACUCACAUCUUAGUGACUUUUCGAAAUCAAUUGAACCCUCCAUUUUCCAUUGGAGGUCGUCAACAUCUCCUUUUUGUUGCAAUCAGGAAAUGGAGAGAAGCAAAGCUACCAAAAUGUAUCAUCUCCAUCUACGCACACUAACCCACCUCGAUUCCUCCUGGUUUUGAGUCGGAUUUUCUCAGGGUACCGCUAUUACCCACCAAUACUCUAUUGCCCCCGCUUAUUGCGCACCACUGGUCAUUGUAAGUCGAGAAGAAGAUAAGGAAUCUCAACUUUCUUGAGAAGAAGCUAUUUAAAAAAGGUCAAUGAUGUUCACUCUUCAGAUUCAACAAUGGCACCCACGACAUCUCUUGGUUAUCUAAAUUACUCCCCAUCGGUUGUAUGUAUGGGAAACAUAUAUUCCAUUGAUUGUCUAAGUUUAGUUGCUGACCUUCCCUUGAUGCACGUAUCUGUUUUAUGUUCUUAACAAGUGAGUGGGUGACACCAAAAUUAUCAAAGAAGAUGGAUAGAUAUAUGUUUUACCUGUUAACCGCUACCAAGAAUGAUCUUAGACAUGUAGGGAUAACUGAGGAUCAAAUGAAAGAAUUAGAUAGAAUCAUAUGUGGGGUUCUGAUUGUUUCUGUUGUGGGGGUAUGAAGGUCAAACUACAUAAAAACCACUAUAUUUCCCGGUUGUUAUGAUAAUAAAGGAAACAUGGUUCUUAUGUUAAGGUUCAAAGAAGGUAGUUCAGCAACCACCUUGAAAAUGAGAAAAUCUAAGGUAAAUGAUGUAUGAACAAUGGUAUAAACAAUGAUAUGUUUCUUAUAUGGUUAAUGAUGCCGAUGUAUGGGUUAGUUUUGGUGUAAAUGGUUCAACCUAGAAAUUAAUCUUAUGAAAAAACUUAGCUUUUACAUAAAAAAUUGGUCGAGGUUUCAUAUGAUCAACCAUUAUGGAAUUAUUGCAUCGUUCUCUGGAUUGUAAUGUUUCUUAGAGAUCUUAAACUCAUUGUGGGAUCGAAUUUCUCCAAUAUUUUGACAAUCUUUGGCAUCCAUUUAAGGAAUAUACAUUGGUGAUGGUAUACAAUCGUGAUGGUAUACUCUUUGAAAAUGUCUAAUCCAAUACGCAAACCGACCUUUGUACACAUUCUAUCUUUAAUAACAUGUAAUCAUGAGAAAGCACUCAUUUUAAUGACUAUUUAAGAAUUGCGAUGUGAUACAAUGUUUAAAAUUGGUUUUC